rnacentral:rRNA from 1 species
UACGUAGGGCGCAAGCGUUGUCCGGAAUUAUUGGGCGUAAAGAGCUCGUAGGCGGCUUGUUGCGUCGGUUGUGAAAGCCCGGGGCUUAACCCCCGGGUCUGCAGUCGAUACGGGCAGGCUAGAGUGUGGUAGGGGAGAUCGGAAUUCCUGGUGUAGCGGUGAAAUGCGCAGAUAUCAGGAGGAACACCGGUGGCGAAGGCGGAUCUCUGGGCCAGUACCGACGCUGAGGAGCGAAAGCGUGGGUAGCAAACAGG